rnacentral:rRNA from 1 species
CCUACGGGUGGCAGCAGUGAGGAAUAUUGGUCAAUGGCCGUAAGGCUGAACCAGCCAAGUCGCGUGAAGGAAGAAGGAUCUAUGGUUUGUAAACUUCUUUUAUAGGGGAAUAAAGGUAUCCACGUGUGGAUAUUUGCAUGUACCCUAUGAAUAAGCAUCGGCUAACUCCGUGCCAGCAGCCGCGGUAAUACGGAGGAUGCGAGCGUUAUCCGGCUUUAUUGGGUUUAAAGGGUGCGUAGGUUGUUUUUUAAGUCAGCGGUGAAAGUUUGUGGCUCAACCAUAAAAUUGCCGUUGAAACUGGCGGGCUGGAGUUGGAGAGAAGUACGCGGAAUGCGCGGUGUAGCGGUGAAAUGCUUAGAUAUCGCGCAGAACCCCGAUUGCGAAGGCAGCGUACCGGCUCCACACUGACGCUGAGGCACGAAAGCGUGGGUAUCGAACAGGAUUAGAUACCCCUGGUAGUC